UGCCUCAUAGCUCAAUGGCAGAGCAAGCGGCUGUUAACCGCGAGGUUGCAAGUUCGACUCUUGCUGAGGCAGCCA
rnacentral:tRNA from 1 species